UACAGAGGGUGCAAGCGUUGUUCGGAAUUACUGGGCGUAAAGCGCACGUAGGCGGCUUUGCAAGUUAGAGGUGAAAGCCCGGGGCUCAACUCCGGAAUUGCCUUUAAAACUGCAUCGCUAGAAUUGUGGAGAGGUAAGUGGAAUUCCGCGUGUAGAGGUGAAAUUCGUAGAUAUUCGGAAGAACACCAGUGGCGAAGGCGACUUACUGGACACAUAUUGACGCUGAGGUGCGAAAGCGUGGGGAGCAAACAGG
rnacentral:rRNA from 1 species